GAGCUUGCUCCUUUGACGUUAGCGGCGGACGGGUGAGUAACACGUGGAUAACCUACCUAUAAGACUGGGAUAACUUCGGGAAACCGGAGCUAAUACCGGAUAACAUAUUGAACCGCAUGGUUCAAUAGUGAAAGGCGGCUUUGCUGUCACUUAUAGAUGGAUCCGCGCCGUAUUAGCUAGUUGGUAAGGUAACGGCUUACCAAGGCAACGAUACGUAGCCGACCUGAGAGGGUGAUCGGCCACACUGGAACUGAGACACGGUCCAGACUCCUACGGGAGGCAGCAGUAGGGAAUCUUCCGCAAUGGGCGAAAGCCUGACGGAGCAACGCCGCGUGAGUGAUGAAGGUCUUCGGAUCGUAAAACUCUGUUAUCAGGGAAGAACAAAUGUGUAAGUAACUGUGCACAUCUUGACGGUACCUGAUCAGAAAGCCACGGCUAACUACGUGCCAGCAGCCGCGGUAAUACGUAGGUGGCAAGCGUUAUCCGGAAUUAUUGGGCGUAAAGCGCGCGUAGGCGGUUUUUUAAGUCUGAUGUGAAAGCCCACGGCUCAACCGUGGAGGGUCAUUGGAAACUGGAAAACUUGAGUGCAGAAGAGGAAAGUGGAAUUCCAUGUGUAGCGGUGAAAUGCGCAGAGAUAUGGAGGAACACCAGUGGCGAAGGCGACUUUCUGGUCUGUAACUGACGCUGAUGUGCGAAAGCGUGGGGAUCAAACAGGAUUAGAUACCCUGGUAGUCCACGCCGUAAACGAUGAGUGCUAAGUGUUAGGGGGUUUCCGCCCCUUAGUGCUGCAGCUAACGCAUUAAGCACUCCGCCUGGGGAGUACGAC
rnacentral:rRNA from 1 species